GGCAAAACUGGAGCACCGGGUCUUCCUGACAUGGAAGGGCUGCCAGGCAAGAAGGGGAAUCCAGGACUGAUGAGGGAACUGGGCCAGAAGGGACCUCGAGGCAAGCCGGGACCAGAUGGUCAGAGAAGGGUGUAAUGGAGAAAAGG